CAUAAACUCCGGGAAGACAGGAAUUUUGUCUUUGGCACUGAAUAUAUUCCUAGUGCCCUGUUCCAGUUCCUGGUGCAAGGCAGAUGGCUCUUCUUCAGGCCAAUAAGGAUCUCAUUUCUACAGGAAUGAAGGAAUUUAAUGUUCUGCUGAAUCAGCAGGUCUUCCCUAAUCCUCCUAUACCUGAAGAAGCCAUGGUGACUAUGGUGGAUGACUGGGUGAACUUCUACAUCAACUAUUACAGGAAGCAGAUGGCAGGGGAGCAGCAAGAGCAGGAGAGGGCUCUACAGGAACUUGAGCAAGAGCUAAGAACUCUGUCUGCCCCUUUUCUGACCAAGUAUAGGGCAUUCUUGAAGUCCUUUUGAGCACCUAAAUCACUCACUGCCUUUCUCCUAGCCCGAAUACCCAGGCCUGCAUCUCUAAGAAACCCUUAAAUCCUGCCUCUGUGUUCUUCAAGUGCUCGGGCUCUGCUCCUUCAUGGUGUUAUUCUACCCUGACACCUCAAUAAAGACCAAAUUGGUUUGCUGGUC